rnacentral:rRNA from 1 species
AACGAACGCUGGCGGCAUGCCUAACACAUGCAAGUCGAACGAGACCUUCGGGUCUAGUGGCGCACGGGUGCGUAACGCGUGGGAACCUGCCCCUAGGUUCGGAAUAACUCCCCGAAAGGGGUGCUAAUACCGGAUAAUGUCUUCGGACCAAAGAUUUAUCGCCUUUGGAUGGGCCCGCGUUGGAUUAGCUAGUUGGUAGGGUAAAAGCCUACCAAGGCGACGAUCCAUAGCUGGUCUGAGGGGAUGAUCAGCCACACUGGGACUGAGGCACGGCCCAGACUCCUACGGGAGGCAGCAGUGGGGAAUAUUGGACAAUGGGCGAAAGCCUGAUCCAGCAAUGCCGCGUGAGUGAUGAAGGCCUUAGGGUUGUAAAGCUCUUUUACCCGGGAUGAUAAUGACAGUACCGGGAGAAUAAGCUCCGGCUAACUCCGUG